rnacentral:misc_RNA from 1 species
AGUUAGACACUGUUGGGAUACUGGACAGUCAACAGUUCUCUUGUGAUCAUCAAAACACUUGGCGCAAUAUAAUCAUCAAGUAAUUAAAUAAUAAUUAAAAAAAAAAAAAUACACGUUCAUGAAUCGUCAAUUAAAAAAAAAAACAAAGAUUGUGUGUAUAGUCAUUAAAUAUAUUUAUAAAUUUUUUUUUCCACGUCAACUGUCAAGAUGAAAGUGACUGUGGAUAGAUGUUGUUGUUUUAAUAUUAGAAUUGGCAGCAUCAUUAUUGCUGGUUUCACAAUUGUUGGUUCAUUCAUCGUAGGUAUUUUUAUGAUAUAUGAUGGUACUUAUGGAUCAGCUUGUGCUCCAAUUGAAAAUAUUAUUUUUUCAUGUUUUCUUUUAAAAGGAAUAUAUCGAGCAAGAAAAACCACUGUACAUGCUGCCUUGGUUAUGUAUAACUUUUAGUGCUAUAUUGCUUGGCCCUACAGAGAUUGUCUAUGUAAUUGAAUAUUCAAUUUUCAGUACCCAAUUUCUUGUUCAUGAUUUGGUUUCUAUAUUAAUUAUAAUAACUGUUUGUGGUAUUGUAAUAGCAGCAUUUCUUGUUGUCUAUAGUCAUUUUAAAGAACUUCUAAUGCCAAAAAAUCGUGUACUUGAUUCUGGUGGUGCAGAUCCAGUCUACACUAUUCUUCCAUAAUUUUAUUGUAUAACAAUUAACAAUAUCAUUUAAUAAAUUGGUUUGCACUUAUUAACUUAAUCAUUGAGUUAAAAAUAUUAUUAUUAUGUUGAAGAUAAAUCAAUUAAUUUAAAUAAAUUCUAUCAUUUUUUAUGAAACAAUUUUUGAGUUAUUUUUCAAAGUGUUGAUAUCUUGUUUACUAAAAAAAUUUAUGCGUUAUAUAGUUUAAUUAAAUUUAAAAACAAAAUUAUGCUUUGAAUCAUUUCAAAUAUCGAUAUUUCAAUGUCCUAAGAGUUGUUAGAUAAAAAAAAAAGUAAAUCAUUGAAUUGAUCAUGUCGUAUGCAAUGUAAUUUAUCAGUAUGAAAGUAAAUAACAUUUUUAUCUCGGAAAAAUAUAUAGAAAAUAUUCAAAAAAAAAAUAUAAAAAACUUGUAAAAGUUGGUUCGAUUUGUGUAAAACUAGUUCAAAACUGUAAAUAAGAAAAUAACAAUAAAAUAUCAUUUUUUUUUUGUUUGUUGGUACUAACAAAAAAUAAAUAAAUAAUAAAUAAAUGUGUUAAAAUUUGAAAACAUUUAUUAUUAUUAUUUUUUAUGAGUUAUAUUAUUAACUUGAUGAUUGAUAGACGAAAAAAAAAUACAAACAAAAAUUGUAUCUAUUCAAAUGUCUUGAUAGCAAUAAAACAAUUCAUAUCAAAAAAUUUACCAAAAAAAAAGCUUUUUAACAAAUGAAAAAAUAAAAAGCUUUACAUAGUAAAAAAAUUUAAAAAAUUAUUUAUUAUAUUCGAAACACAGUAGUAUAACUUUAAACGUUAUUGGUUUAUUUUAUAUUUUGUAAAUCUUAUUUACAGUUUAAGUUUAUUGCAGUUUUUAUAUCUCAUCAGAGAAUAUAUAAAAUAAAAUAAAAUGUCACAUGAACGAGAAGAUACUCUCUCUCAAAAAGUAAAAUUUGUAAAUUACUUUUAGUGACAAUUAUAUACAGAUAAUUUGAAUAAUAUUCUUUGUGAGAUAAAAUAAACGAGUGAGAUAAAUAAAUAAAUUCCCAAAGGGACUAUUUGAAGAGUAAACCAACUGCAAAUGAAUUCCCUAGAGUAUCAUGGUUUAUCCAUAGUUAAUUAUUAAUACUUGGAGCACGAGGGUCAUCUCUAGAAAUUCCGAUUUGUAUCAAUUCCAACAGAAAAGCUAAUACACCUUCAACUAUAUAUCAACAAAUCUACAUAUUAUAUUUAUUUCUCUAAAUAUUUUAAAAUAACUUUUCAAGGUCAUUUGAUAAUUAAAAUUGAUAUUCCAAAAUUUUUUGAGGUCUUUUGUAUAAGAUUAUUAUUACUCUUAAAAUAUUCAUCAACUUUUUUAUUAUAUUUUGAUUUCUAAUGAGUUAUUUUUAGUGAAAAAAAAUUUAAUAACAAGUAGUUAUUUAGAUUAUUUGAUAUAGUCUUGUUGUUUAAAUUACAUAUAAUUAAUAAUUUAUCCUUGAAAAAAGGCAAAUGAAAUAAUAAAAUAUUUACAUUAAUUUGAAUGAAUUUUUUUUUUUUUUGUAAUAUUUGUAGUAGUUGAUUAUUGAAAUAAAAAGAAUAAUAAUAUCUUAUCAUAAAUCAAUCAAUGCCAAGGGCAUCUUGGUAAGUAAAUUGUCCAAGUUAAACACGCUAUAUUCAUAUACGAUCUAUAACCCUUCGUGUUUUUUAGCUUGGCCUUAAGUUGGACAUUUUCAUGUAAUAAAAAUGAUGACAGAAUAUUCAACAAAAUAUAUAUAAUCACUUAUCAUAUCGUUUCCGGUCUACUUGAGAUAUCUAUUUACGAUAAUAUAUUUUAUAAAAUAAAAAACUAUAUGUAUAUAAUUAAAUAUGAAAUAAUAGUAAUUUAUAUUUAAAAAAAUAAAAUAAAAUAAGGAUAAAAUUACCAAUCAAUAAAUCAAUAUUACAUUGAUAAUAUUACUCAUCUAUUAUUUUUUCAAAAAACAUUUAAAUAAACCUUUUAAAUGAGGAAAAAUAAAAUAGAAAAAAAAAAAUUUUAUAUCAUUGUAUUUGUCAAGUUUAUUAUUUUUAUAGGUAUAAACUUUAAUAUCAUUUUAAUUAGUUCCGAUAUAAACAGACAUGGAAUUUAUACGCCCACAAAAUUUAUGAUUAUUUAAAAAUUUUUAUAGACACUUGUUUUAAAUACAUCCGAUUAAAUAUAUCUUGUAAAAUAUUUAUAAUAUUUAUUUACCGAAAAAAAAAAAAAAUAAACAACAUUAUCAUUAAAAAAAAAAAAACUAAUUAUCAAAUGUAUUAUGUGAUGAUUAAUUGUCUAUUACGAAUAUGAAUAAUUAUUCAAAAUUAUUUUAUGGAUAAUAAUAAUAUUUAUAAUUUGUUUUUCAUAUAAUAUUAUAUAAAAAUAAUAAUUGAAAAAUAAAUUGGAUAAUAAAUAAA